UACGUAGGGUGCAAGCGUUGUCCGGAAUUUAUUGGGCGUAAAGAGCUCGUAGGCGGUUUGUCGCGUCUGGUGUGAAAAUCCAGGGCUUAACCCUGGACCUGCAUCGGGUACGGGCAGACUAGAGUGCGGUAGGGGAGAUCGGAAUUCCUGGUGUAGCGGUGAAAUGCGCAGAUAUCAGGAGGAACACCGGUGGCGAAGGCGGAUCUCUGGGCCGUAACUGACGCUGAGGAGCGAAAGCAUGGGGAGCGAACAGG
rnacentral:rRNA from 1 species